rnacentral:rRNA from 1 species
AUGCGUAGAUAUCGGGAGGAACACCAGUGGCGAAGNCGGCCUCCUGGNCUGUUCCUGACGCUGAAGGCGAAAGCUAGGGUAGCGAACGGGAUUAGAAACCCCGGUAGUCCUANCUGUAAACGAUGGAUGCUAGAUGUAGGGGGUAUAGAUUCCCUCUGUGUCGCAGUUAACGCGUUAAGCAUCCCGCCUGGGGAGUACGGUCGCAAGGCUAAAACUCAAACGAAUUGACGGGGGCCCGCACAAGCAGCGGAGCGUGUGGUUUAAUUCGAUGCUACACGAAGAACCUUACCUGGGCUUGACAUGUAUGUGGUAGUGAAGUGAAAGCGGAUCGACCCUUCGGGGAGCAUACACAGGUGCUGCAUGGCUGUCGUCAGCUCGUGCCGUGAGGUGUCGGGUUAAGUCCCGUAACGAGCGCAACCCCUGUCCUUAGUUACAAGUGUCUAGGGAGACUGCCGNCGGUAAGCCGGAGGAAGGUGGGGAUGACGUCAAGUCAGCAUGGCCUUUAUGUCCAGGGCUACACACACGCUACAAUGGCCGGUACAAUGGGUUGCCAAACCGUGAGGUGGAGCCAAUCCCGUAAAGCCGGUCUCAGUUCGAAUUGUAGACUGCAACUCGUCUACAUGAAGUCGGAGUUGCUAGUAAUCGCGGAUCAGCAUGCCGCGGUGAAUAUGUUCCCGGGCAUUGACACACCGCCCGUCACGUCAUGGAAGCUGCAACACCUGAAGCC